rnacentral:rRNA from 1 species
UACGAAGGGGGCUAGCGUUGCUCGGAAUCACUGGGCGUAAAGGGUGCGUAGGCGGGUCUUUUAAGUCAGGGGUGAAAUCCUGGAGCUCAACUCCAGAACUGCCUUUGAUACUGAAGAUCUUGAGUUCGGGAGAGGUGAGUGGAACUGCGAGUGUAGAGGUGAAAUUCGUAGAUAUUCGCAAGAACACCAGUGGCGAAGGCGGCUCACUGGCCCGAUACUGACGCUGAUGAGCGAAAGCCAGGGGAGCAAACGGGG